CAGUCGCCGCGGUAAUACGGAGGGUGCAAGCGUUAAUCGGAAUUACUGGGCGUAAAGCGUGCGCAGGCGGUUCGUUAAGACAGAUGUGAAAUCCCCGGGCUUAACCUGGGAACUGCAUUUGUGACUGGCGAGCUAGAGUAUGGCAGAGGGGGGUAGAAUUCCACGUGUAGCAGUGAAAUGCGUAGAGAUGUGGAGGAAUACCGAUGGCGAAGGCAGCCCACUGGGCCAAUACUGACGCUCAUGCACGAAAGCGUGGGGAGCAAACAGGAUUAGAUACCCGAGUAGUCCCUGUCUCUUAUAU
rnacentral:rRNA from 1 species